UAUCUUCUUAGAAUAAACAGUGAAAACAAGUUUCAACACAGAACAACAGCCUAACGUGUCCUCUCAGCGGGCACCCUGUGAAGAAGACAGGACAUAUCGGGCAAACAGGAAGGGCUGAACAAUCCAGGCAGGGUGGCCUCUUGAAAAAACUGUCAGAAAGACAAAUCUUAAAUCAAGGUCUGCUGUCGGCCCCCUGCCUUCUGUUGAGUGGAAGGUUGGGUUCAUCCAAUGCUCUUCUCUGACACUCCCUCCUCUUCUGUUUCAUUCCUGGGCAUCCAAGCCCAGUGAUUUGUUUUGGAAAUGUUAUUAUUUGUUAGCUUAGCUUUUAUCUCAGUUGGAUGCCUUUCCUGUUUCACUGUUUUCCUUUCAGGGAGCAGAGCCAACACUUGCCUCUGGGAGUUUUAUUCAACACAUCCCUGUUGUUAAAUGAAGCUCAAGAAGUUUUGAUUAACAAGCCAACCCAGGUUGAAGUCAACCAUGGCCUAGGGAAAGUGUCUGGCACCCUCUGGAGCCUGGAGGAGAAAUGCAGUAGUGGAGCUUCUGUUUGGAAUAUCGACCUGGCAAAUGAACCCCAGAGAGGUUGCAAAAGCAAUUGUGGAGCCCCCAGCAUCCUUCCAAACCUGAAGAAAUUCUUGACACAAGACCAUAGAGAAAAAAUUCUCACGGAACCUGCCUUUUCCUCUACUCCAUGGGUCCUUGGGAUGUCUGCCUCUACCCGGACACCUCUGAUUUCAGUCCUCCACGUUGAUCAUGACCAGUGCAGCUUUACUUGGGUGAGUCGACAGACCACGUGACAGGUGGCAUUCUGCAAUGUGUCUCUACAGAGCUUUGCUUUAGUGCCUAUUUGCCCAGUUCUCAUUCAGGAGAAGCAGAAAUGUUUUGCCCUGCCCCAUCUGCUAAAUCCUGUGUGCUGGAGCAGUCUAGGCCUGUGAAGCAUUGAGCUGUGUGGUUGUGCUGGUUCCAGACUCAGCUCUUAGCUCUGUUUCCAGUGGAGGGAAACUAUAAGGAACUGAAUAUCCCUGGGAAACAAUGAAAGGUUAAAAUGAUUCCCACAUGGGGCCAGUGCCAUGGCUCACUUGGUUAAUCCUCCACCUGUGGCGCCGGCAUCCCAUGUGGGCGCCAGGUUCUAGUCCCGGUUGCUCCUCUUCCAGUCCAGCUCUCUGCUGUGACCCGGGGAGUGGGGGCAGUGGAGGAUGGCCCAAGUGCUUGGGCCCGUGCACCCGCGUUGGAGACCAGGAGGAAGUACCUGGCUCCUGGCUUCAGAUCGGCGCAGUGCCAGCCAUGGCAGCCAUUUGGGGAGUGAACCAAGGGAGGGAAGACCUUUCUCUCUGUCUCUCUUACUGUCUGUAAUUCUACCUGUCAAAAAAAAAAAAAAAAGUGAUUCCCACAAACCCUGAGUUUAAUCUAAAAAGGAAAAACCUAGCUCUUUUUUUACACUCAUGUGUCUAGUGCAUUUCAUACACUCAUGUGUCCUAGUGCAAUAUUAUUCAGGAUACUUACUAAAUAGCAAAAAAAAAAAAAAAUUGGUGAUAAUUUGCUGAUUGGGACAUGAAAUAAGAACUGUGGAAUUCUGCUGCAAUUUGGGUCAUGAUCUCAGCUUUCUUUCACUGGCCUCAAGAGUCUCUAUCACAAAGUCAUCUAUAAUCUCUUCUGGGUCUAAGUAUAUUUGGACUAUACUUUCUAAAGCUUUGGGAUUUGAUUAAAAUGAAAGUAGGGAGGCUGGCACUGUGUGUAGUAGGUUAAACCUCCUCCUGCGGUGCCAGCAUCCCAUAUAGGUAUUGGUUAAUUUCCCAGCUGCUCCUCUUCCAAUCCAGCUCUCUGCUUUGGCCUGGGAAAGCAGUGUAAGAUGGCCCACGUGCUUGGGCCCCUGCACCUAUGUAGGUGACCUGGAAGAAGCUCCUGGCUCCUGGCUUCAGACUGGCCCGGCUCUGGCUGUUGUGACCAUUUGAGGAGUUAACCAGUGGAUGAGAGACCUUUCUGUGUCUCUCCGUCUCUCUCUGUAACUCAACGCAAAUAAAUAAAUUAAAUAAAUAAAAUAUUUUUAAAAA
ensembl:lncRNA